rnacentral:rRNA from 1 species
CAGUCGCCGCGGUAAAACGUAGGGGGCAAGCGUUGUCCGGAUUUACUGGGUGUGAAGGGAGCGUAGACGGCAAAUAAAGUCUGAAGUGAAAUGCCGGGGCUCAACCCCGGAGCUGCUUUGGGAACUGUAGAACUGGAGUGUCGGAGGGGUAAGCGGAAUUCCCAGUGUAGCGGUGAAAUGCGUAGAUAUUGGGAGGAACACCGGCGGCGAAGGCGGCUUACUGGACGACAACUGACGUUGAGGCUCGAAGGCGUGGGUAGCAAACUGGAUUAGAUACCCGAGUAGUCCCUGUCUCUUAUAA